GAUGAAGAACGUAGCGAAAUGCGAUAAUUAAUGUGAAUUGCAGAAUUCCGUGAAUCAUCGAGUCUUUGAACGCACAUUGCGCCUCAUGGCAUUCCGUGAGGCAUGCCCAUCUCAGCGUUAGAAAAUAUUCUCAAAUUUUAGUUUUGUGCUAAAAUUUGGAUCAUGUCAAGGAAGCUAUUACUAUUAUUGUGAUCGCUCUUUGGAAAUUGAUAGGUCUUUGAGUUGCUACUCAUAGAACGUGAUGAAUCUUUCUUCGUUCUAUUGUAAUUCACUCUGGUAGUCCUAAAACUUGUAUGCCUGUGGCAUAUCUUGUAAUUUGACCUGAGAUUGGGUAGGGAUACCCGCUGAACUUAAGCAUCUCAAUAAGCGGAGGA
rnacentral:misc_RNA from 1 species